GACGAACCAAGCGAACGUUAUUCGGAAUUACUGGGCUUAAAGCGCGUGUAGGCGGAUGACCACGUCAGUCGUUGAAAUCCCCCGGCUCAACCGGGGAACAGGCGCUGAUACGAGUUGUCUUGAGGUGGGUAGGGGAGACUGGAACUUCCGGUGGAGCGGUGAAAUGCGUUGAGAUCGGAAGGAACGCCCGCGGCGAAAGCGAGUCUCUGGACCCAUUCUGACGCUGAGACGCGAAAGCCAGGGGAGCAAACGGG
rnacentral:rRNA from 1 species